GACGAACGCUGGCGGCGUGCUUAACACAUGCAAGUCGAACGGAAAGGCCCUGCUUUUGUGGGGUGCUCGAGUGGCGAACGGGUGAGUAACACGUGAGUAACCUGCCCUUGACUUUGGGAUAACUUCAGGAAACUGGGGCUAAUACCGGAUAGGAGCUCCUGCUGAAUGGUGGGGGUUGGAAAGUUUAGGCGGUUGGGGAUGGACUCGCGGCUUAUCAGCUUGUUGGUUGGGUAGUGGCUUACCAAGGCUUUGAAGGGUAGCCGGCCUGAGAGGGUGACCGGCCACGUUGGGACUGGGAUACGGCCCAGACUACUACGGGAGGCAGCGGUGGGGAAUAGUGCACUAUGGGCGGAAGCCUGAUGCAGCAACGCCGCGUGCGGGAUGACGGCCUUCGGGUUGUAAACCGCUUUCGCCUGUGACGAAGCGUUAAUGACGGUAAUGGGUAAAGAAGCACCGGCUAACUACGUG
rnacentral:rRNA from 1 species